GUCUACGGACAUAUCACCCUGAACGCGCCCGAUCUCAUCUGAUCUCGGAAACAUCCACGUUUUAUUGUGCCCAUAUAUAGGACUGUUGACA
rnacentral:rRNA from 1 species